ACGGCAUGAUGGGGACAUUUUUGGAUGAGAUCCUUUAAUCUUUCCCAUGAUUCAUAGAAUUGCUCACUAUCGUGCUGUGAAAAGCUAGUGAGAGCUCGCCUU
rnacentral:snoRNA from 1 species